rnacentral:rRNA from 1 species
GACGAACGCUGGCGGCGUGCUUAACACAUGCAAGUCGAACGAUGAACCCGGAGCUUGCUCCGGCGGAUUAGUGGCGAACGGGUGAGUAACACGUGAGUAACCUGCCCUAGACUCUGGGAUAACUGCUAGAAAUGGUAGCUAAUACCGGAUACGACCCUCGGUGGCAUCACCAGGGGGUGGAAAGAAUUUCGGUCAAGGAUGGACUCGCGGCCUAUCAGCUAGUUGGUGAGGUAACGGCUCACCAAGGCGACGACGGGUAGCCGGCCUGAGAGGGUAACCGGCCACACUGGGCCUGAGACACGGCCCAGACUCCUACGGGGGGCAGCAGUGGGGAAUAUUGCACAAUGGGCGCGAGCCUGAUGCAGCAACGCCGCGUGAGGGAUGACGGCCUUCGGGUUGUAAACCUCUUUUAGUAGGGAAGAAGCGAAAGUGACGGUACCUGCAGAAAAAGCACCGGCUAACUACGUGCCAGCCGCCACGGUAA